AAUAAAAUUCUUAUCCAUUUUCUUGUGUACGAUAGACAUAAAGGAAUAAAACGAACGCGUCUAAACAGUAUGGUACUCUGUACUUUAAAAUUGUUCUAUCCAUAUCUAGACUAAUUUGAUAUGCAAUUUAUAUUUCCAGAUUUUUUUUAUGAUCGUUAGCAGUUUCAAAGAUUACGUGCUUAAAAGGUCAAGUUAAGUCAUCUUAUCAUGCUUCACUUGUCUAUGUUUAAAAUAUUUACCUGGGAUCAAUAUCUACCUGGAUUAAUUAGUGUCUACCUUUUUUCAAUGCAUAUCUAAACAUCUCCACGAACGUUAAUUGUUUUUAAAAUAUAGAAAACUGUCCACCAUAUGAAUUAUUUCUUCAUAUAAUUUGAUUUAAUAUCAAACGUCCAAUUUAUUAAAGUAAACGCUGAUUUGAAGACUUCUACAAAUCUCACUAGAGAAAUUGAUCAACGUGUCGCCGAACAUUAACUCCUAAGUUUUCGAAGAUUUAUCAUGCAUUUUUACUGUCAUGUCUACAUUCUUGCUUUAUUUUAAGCCAUGCAUAUAUUUGUUCGACUGUUAUUUUGUUUGUGUUUUUAAAAUAAAAAAGAUACAGCAAU
rnacentral:misc_RNA from 1 species